rnacentral:lncRNA from 1 species
AUGCUGCUAACUUUCCAAGUGCUUAACCUAAGCAGUAAAAAUUUAUUUUUACUGUUAAUUAAAUAUUGGAUAUUUUUGUGGAUUUUUCUUUCUUUCUUUCUUUCUUUUUUUAGAGAACCAGAGGACGAAAACGAAGCUUCAUUCCUGAGGAAGAAAAACAUGAGGAAAGAGUUCCUAGAGAGAGAAGACAGAGGCAGUCUGUGUUACAAAAGAAGCCCAAGGCUGAAGAUUUACGAACUGAAUGUGCAACUUGCAAGGGAACUGGAGACAAUGAAAAUCUUGUCAGAUACCCUUCAUGAGACCCAACUCUGCCACAGCUCAUCCUCGGAGGCAAUCCUGGAAACCUCUUUUAUAAGUGUGAUUUUUUAA